AGUCUCACUGCAUUAUGGUUUAGGAAAAUAAUCUUGUGUCUUUCCUCUAAAGGUUCAUCUUCCUAAUGCCUCUGAAGAACAGGAAUGUAAUGCUGUACUUACCAUCAAUUAUCAUGUAAAUAAAAAACAGAGGGAAUUCACACUCAAUGCCAUCAAAAAGCUGAAAAGAAGGAAAACCAAUCAGACUGAGCAACAGCUCAUUAACCUCGCUGCCACUAACCUUGGUCCUUAACCUCUUGGCUGCACCUCUAUUCUUUCUCAGGAUUGGGGUUACACGCAGGUGCGAAGAACUUUCUCUUGAGAGGCUCAGCAGGAUUUCUCAAAGCUAUUGGAACACAGCUGGAGCUAAGCAGAAAGGCAAACUCUGCUGCAGACUGAAGGUCAUAAUGGUUUCUGUUUAUGCUAAAUAU